UUCUUAUUCAUCAUGGACAAAAAGUUAUAUUAACCCAGCUGGAUCCAUGGCGGUUAGCUGAUGCUGCAGCUGAUCUCUACGCCUUUGCAGCUGUUCUGUCUAGAUGUUCUCGGUCCUAUUGCUUAGGAAUGAAGAACUCUCAUCAAGAACUUAUACUGGCAGGCGCCUUUUGUCAUGAUAUAAUAGAUAAGCUGACAGAAAAUAUGGGCGCUAUUGUUUUAGGUGUAAAUGAAAACAAUGAAGCCAAUCAUUUAAAUAUUGGAUCAGAAAUUGUUGAUUGUAAAGGUUAUUUUGCAGAGCAUCCAUUAAAACAUAAUUUUUAGAUUAUAUGUGAUAGUUUUUAAUAAAAUUAAUCAAUUCCUCA